rnacentral:rRNA from 1 species
CCUUGAAAGAGUGCGUAAUAGCUCACUGGUCAAGUGAUCCUGCGCCGACAAUGUAGCGGGGCUCAAGUACACCGCCGAAGCCGCGGCAUUCACAUAACACCCAUGCGGGUCUACGGGCCUGUGUGCAGUGGUGUGGAUGGGUAGGG